rnacentral:rRNA from 1 species
UGGGGAAUAUUGCACAAUGGGCGCAAGCCUGAUGCAGCCAUGCCGCGUUUAUGAAGAAGUCCUUCGGGUUGUAAAGUACUUUCAGCGGGGAGGAAGGGAGUAAAGUUAAUACCUUUGCUCUUUCACGUUACCCGCAGUAGAAGCACCGGCUAACUCCGUUCCAGCAGCCGCGGUAAUACGGAGGGUGCAAGCGUUAAUCGGUAUUACUUGGCGUAAAGCGCACGCACGCGGUUUGUUAAGUCAGAUGUGAAAUCGCCGGGCUAAAACUGGGAACAGCAUCUGAGACUGGCAAGCUUGAGUCGCGUAGAGGGGGGUAGAAUACCAGGGGUAGCGGUGAAAUGCGUAGAGAUCUGGAGGAAUACAGGUGGCGAAGGCGGCCCCCUGGACGAAGACUGACGCUCAGGUGCGAAAGAGUGGGGAGCAAACAGG